CCUACGGGUGGCAGCAGUGGGGGAUAUUGCACAAUGGCGGAAACGCUGAUGCAGCGACGCCGCGUGUGGGAAGACGGUCCUCUGGAUUGUAAACCACUGUCGCCAGGGACGAAGAUGACGGUACCUGGGGAGGAAGCUCCGGCUAACUACGUGCCAGCAGCCGCGGUAAUACGCAGGGAGCGAGCGUUGUCCGGAAUUACUGGGUGUAAAGGGAGCGUAGGCGGGUCUGCAAGUUGGGGGUAAAAUCUACCGGCUCAACCGGUAGCCGCACUCAAAACUGCAGUUCUUGAGUGAAGUAGAGGCAGGCGGAAUUCGUAGUGUAGCGGUGAAAUGCAUAGAUAUUAGGAGGAACACCAGUGGCGAAGGCAGCCUACUGGGCUUUUACUGACGCUGAGGCUCGAAAGUGUGGGUAUCGAACAGGAUUAGAUACCCGGGUAGUC
rnacentral:rRNA from 1 species